GAUGAACGCUGGCGGCGUGCCUAAUACAUGCAAGUCGAGCGAACAGACGAGGAGCUUGCUCCUCUGACGUUAGCGGCGGACGGGUGAGUAACACGUGGAUAACCUACCUAUAAGACUGGGAUAACUUCGGGAAACCGGAGCUAAUACCGGAUAAUAUAUUGAACCGCAUGGUUCAAUAGUGAAAGACGGUUUUGCUGUCACUUAUAGAUGGAUCCGCGCCGCAUUAGCUAGUUGGUAAGGUAACGGCUUACCAAGGCAACGAUGCGUAGCCGACCUGAGAGGGGGAUCGGCCACACUGGAACUGAGACACGGUCCAGACUCCUACGGGAGGCAGCAGGAGGGAAUCUUCCGCAAUGGGCGAAAGCCUGACGGAGCAACGCCGCGUGAGUGAUGAAGGUCUUCGGAUCGUAAAACUCUGUUAUUAGGGAAGAACAAAUGUGUAAGUAACUAUGCACGUCUUGACGGUACCUAAUCAGAAAGCCACGGCUAACUACGUG
rnacentral:rRNA from 1 species